rnacentral:lncRNA from 1 species
AGGAAGUUACCUCCCUAGAAACACUAUCCCCAGCGACUCGAGUUCGCUUUGGAGAACCUUUUUUGUGGAAGGAUUAUUAAUCUUAUCCCAUGCCCUCUUUGUUGAAACGUGAAACAAUGAAGAAUUAUCCAUGGGAAAAGUGGUCGUAACAUCCAUAAAUUGAUCUACCUAGAGUGCAAAAGUAGAAGCCUUGACAACCAAAAUCGGAGCAAGGGAUGAAGCAAGAGUAGUGUUUGUCAGAAUAUGCACGACAACCCAAAUACCUUGUGCAUUUUC